AGUUUGAUCAUGGCUCAGAUUGAACGCUGGCGGCAUGCUUUACACAGUGCAAAGUCGAACGGUAACAUAAGAAAGCUUGCUUUCUUGAUGACGAGUGGCGAACGGGUGAGUAAUACAUCGGAACGUACCCUGUAGUGGGGGAUAACUACUCGAAAGAGUGGCUAAUACCGCAUACAACCUGAGGGUAAAAGUGGGGGACCGCAAGGCCUCACGCUAUAGGAGCGGCCGAUGGAAGAUUAGGUAGUUGGUGGGGUAAAGGCCUACCAAGCCGACGAUCUUUAGCGGGUCUGAGAGGACGAUCCGCCACACUGGGACUGAGACACGGCCCAGACUCCUACGGGAGGCAGCAGUGGGGAAUUUUUGGACAAUGGGCGAAAGCCUGAUCCAGCAAUGCCGCGUGAGUGAAGAAGGCCUUCGGGUUGUAAAGCUCUUUUGUUUGGGAAGAAAUCCUUAAGGCUAAUAUCCUUGGGGGAUGACGGUACCAAAAGAAUAAGCACCGGCUAACUACGUG
rnacentral:rRNA from 1 species